rnacentral:lncRNA from 1 species
UGAAGUCAGUGUUGUAAUGGUGAAUCGAGAUUUUUAAAUGAAGUGGGUUUGAAUACUCUUGACUGUUUUGUGAAAUCGAGUUACGUUUGUGAUUGAAGGAUUAAAAGGGUGUCUAUAGGAUUGAGUAUGCGGAGUGAAUGAAAUUUAUUGGGUUAAUCUAACAAGACAGUCAGUGGAUACAAGAUCGUAAGUACAAAGCAGUAUUGAAGGUUAACAGUUUGGGUUGUACGGGGUUCUCUGUAACGUCUA